AACGAGAGAAUGACAAAUUAGAUUUUUCCUCCUAAUUUUCAUAUUUUUUCUCCUGAAAAAUUCAAAUCUAACUAAAAUGCUAAAAAUCAAGAGGAAAAAUCUAAUUUGUCAUUGUCCCAUU
rfam:Gossypium hirsutum cultivar TM-1 chromosome 22, whole genome shotgun sequence